rnacentral:rRNA from 1 species
AUUGAACGCUGGCGGCAUGCUUUACGCAUGCAAGUCGAACGGCAGCGCGGGCUUCGCCCUGGCUGCGAGGGGCGAACGGGCGAGUAAUGCAGCGGAACGUGCCCAGUAGUGGGGGAGAGCCCGGCGAAAGCCGGAUUAAUACCGCAAACGACCUGAGGGUGAAAGCGGGGGACCGAAAGGCCUCCCGCCAUUGGAGCGGCCGAUGUCGGAUUAGCUAGUUGGUGGGGUAAAGGCUUACCAAGGCGACGAUCCGUAGCUGGUCUGAGAGGACGACCAGCCACACUGGGACUGAGACACGGCCCAGACUCCUACGGGAGGCAGCAGUGGGGAAUUUUGGACAAUGGGGGCAACCCUGAUCCAGCCAUGCCGCGUGCGGGAAGAAGGCCUUCGGGUUGUAAACCGCUUUUGUUCGGGAAGAAAUCCUCUGGGCUAAUACCCCGGGGGGAUGACGGUACCGGAAGAAUAAGCACCGGCUAACUACGUG